rnacentral:rRNA from 1 species
AGAGUUUGAUCCUGGCUCAGGACGAACGCUGGCGGCGUGCCUAAUACAUGCAAGUCGUGCGAGGUGGAGAGAGCUUGCUCUCAAAACCUAGCGGCGGACGGGUGAGUAACACGUAGGCAACCUGCCUGUAAGACUGGGAUAACCUCGGGAAACCGAAGCUAAUACCGGAUAACCUCCAAGACCGCAUGGUCUUGGAAUAA